AUUGAACGCUGGCGGCAGGCCUAACACAUGCAAGUCGAACGGUAACAGGAAGCAGCUUGCUGCUUUGCUGACGAGUGGCGGACGGGUGAGUAAUGUCUGGGAAACUGCCCGAUGGAGGGGGAUAACUACUGGAAACGGUAGCUAAUACCGCAUAACGUCGCAAGACCAAAGAGGGGGACCUUAGGGCCUCUUGCCAUCGGAUGUGCCCAGAUGGGAUUAGCUAGUAGGUGGGGUAACGGCUCACCUAGGCGACGAUCCCUAGCUGGUCUGAGAGGAUGACGAGCCACAAUGGAAGUGAGACACGGCCCAGACUCCUACGGGAGGCAGCAGGGGGGAAUAUUGCACAAUGGGGGCAAGCCUGAUGAAGCCAUGCCGCGGGUAUGAAGAAGGCCUUCGGGUUGUAAAGUACUUUCAGCGGGGAGGAAGGGAGUAAAGUUAAUACCUUUGCUCAUUGACGUUACCCGCAGAAGAAGCACCGGCUAACUCCGUG
rnacentral:rRNA from 1 species